UAUUAAAGCCCAAAGACCCUGAAGGCACUACCCCCCAUCUGAUUUCAAAAGCUAAGCAAGGCCACUCCUGGUUUGUACUUGGAUGGAGACUGCCAAGGAAUAGGAGGUGCUGUGGACU
rnacentral:rRNA from 11 species